rnacentral:rRNA from 1 species
UACGAAGGGGGCUAGCGUUGUUCGGAAUACUGGGCGUAAAGCGUGCGCAGGCGGCUGCUCAAGUCAGGGGUGAAAGCCCAGAGCUCAACUCUGGAAUUGCCUUUGAGACUGAGUGGCUUGAGUACGAGAGAGGUGAGUGGAAUUCCCAGUGUAGAGGUGAAAUUCGUAGAUAUUGGGAAGAACACCGGUGGCGAAGGCGGCUCACUGGCUCGUAACUGACGCUCAUGCACGACAGCGUGGGGAUCAAACAGG